ensembl:lncRNA
UUUUCUUAAAUCUCUUUCAGUCUGUGUUGUGAAUUAGUUGGCAUUGUCACAAGUAUCAGCAUUUUUAUAGAUAACCAUGCUCCUGAAAUUGCUCGUAUCAGGAUGGAAGUCUGCUUUUAUUCACUUACUGAAGAUAUUUGUUUACCUCUUUCACAGCAGCUGCAGUGACACACCCUCGCACUUUGAAAGACUUGAGCUGCAAGGGCCAGGAUUUAGAAAAGACCAGCCAGAGCUCAGAAGCGUCACCUUCAGCCUCCAGGGGGAAGGAAAGUACUUGUCUAAUUUCUCCUGUUAUUGCCUUAAAUUUGUGUUAGAAUUGGA